ACUCUGAUGCAGCACGCCGCGUGGAGGAUAGACAGCAUCUUCGGUGCGUAAACUCCUUUUAUUUGGGAAGAUAAUGACGGUACCAAAUGAAUAAGCACCGGCUAACUCCGUGCCAGCAGCCGCGGUA
rnacentral:rRNA from 1 species